rnacentral:rRNA from 1 species
GACGAACGCUGGCGGCGUGCUUAACACAUGCAAGUCGAACGGAAAGGCCCCUUCGGGGGUACUCGAGUGGCGAACAGGUGAGUAACACGUGAGUAACCUGCCCUUGACUUCGGGAUAACUUCAGGAAACUGGGGCUAAUACCGGAUAGGAAUCCUUGCUGCAUGGUGGGGGUUGGAAAGCUUCGGCGGUUUUGGAUGGACUCGCGGCUUAUCAGCUUGUUGGUGGGGUAGUGGCUUACCAAGGCUUUGACGGGUAGCCGGCCUGAGAGGGCGACCGGCCACAUUGGGACUGAGAUACGGCCCAGACUCCGACGGGAGGCAGCAGUGGGGAAUAUUGCACAAUGGGCGGAAGCCUGAUGCAGCAACGCCGCGUGCGGGAUGACGGCCUUCGGGUUGUAAACCGCUUUCAGCAGGGGCGAAGCUUGUGGUGACGGUACCUGCAGAAGAAGCACCGGCUAACUACGUG